CAACCGCUUGUGUUACACAACGAUCACAGUGUGUUACACACGAGUUCGAGAGAAAGAAUAAGAUAGACGUUUCAGGCUUAUAAACUUUUCUGAAAAUACUUUUGUAUUAUUGAGAUUCGGUGAUUAAGUUUACAACAGAUGAUUGAUCUUUAUAUAGAGAUCGAAUCAAUACAAGUAUAAGAGACACAACUCUUUAUACUAAAGGACACAACUUGAAGAGUUACAACUCUUUGUGUAAUAACAUAAAUAACUAACUUAUGUAAAUGUAUCAAGGAGAGAUUAGAUUAUAGUUUAACAACGAAGAUGUUGAAAUGAUGAGAUUGAAAAAUACAUGAAUAUACAGUAUUUACAGCUAUUAUGUUUCAGACAGAGAAUGAGCUCAAUGAUGGAUUCAUGUUAUUUGCUAAAUACAAUUUCGUAAAUGAUUUUAAAUGAGCUGGUUUAUUUAGAGUGACAUAAGAUCAGAUAUGACGUGGCAAAUAUGUUGUUUCUUAUUGGAUGAUUUAAUUGUCCUACGUGGACACACUCUCUGAUGCUCAUAUAACCCUUUUAAUAUAGUAUAGAUAUCCUUAUGUAAGGUGGGAUUUUUUAAUUAAAUGUUUUGUUGAAGAAAUCUAACAAUAAUAAAAGGGGAAUAAGAUCAAUAGGUAGAGUGUCCACGUCAGCAAUUAAAAUCAUCCAAUGGGGUUGGUUCUUUCCUCCACGUCAAACCAAAAUUGGGUUGAUCUUGGGCUGUUAAUUUUUUUUGAUCCGUGAAAAGGGAAGAAGCCCAAAUCUGGGAAAAUCUUAUAAUGUCGACAUCUCAUCUCUUUGCCCUUUCCCCUUCUUCUUUUAACUAAGAUGCUUGACCAUUUGUUGUGCCUCUUUGGAUAUCACGAUCUAUUCAAACUCCGAUCAAAGCAAGUGUAUCGGUUUCAGUUUUUACUUUGAUUUCCUUGAAGCCCUAACUAGAAAUCCGACAAUAGAUCCACUGUACAAUCCUCCUUCCAUGGAAACUCUUUCCUGUGUUUGUGCUCAAUUCCAAGAUGGGAGGCGAAUGAGUAUUCUUUGAAGCUUAUUCAGAUGAUGAAGCUUACGCUGGCAGAUAACUCCUUCCGACCGAUCUCGAAGACGUCAUCCCACGUGAAGAAGGAGGAGGAGGAGGAGCUAAUUGGAAGAGUUGUAGCUGAUAAAGUGGGGGAGAUACGGAGGGAGCUCGAACGCCAGUGUGGAGUGUGCGCAAGCGCAAAAGCGUGGGACGAGGAGAAUAAGGAAGUGAGAGUGGGACGCAGGGAGCAAAACCCACAAGCCAUUUUCAGUGGAGACAGACAGACAGACACAAAGGUGUGUUCUAGACAGACUCACUGGUUGGUAUUUUUCACUUAUGGGCCGGCCACAAGAAUGGGUCCGUAACGGAGCUGAGCUAAACAAGAUAGUAUGUCUUCAUGAUGUAUCCCUUUCUUUGAUAUUUUAUUUUGGUUUAUUUUAAAAAUCUUUUGAAUUUCAGUUAUAUAAUCUUUAUUUGUUAUGCUAAUGGUAUUAGGGGAUUUUUUGGAACAAAUGUAUUACAUUUAGUUUCGUGCUUUUGUAAUAUCAACGAGAUUAAGAUUGAAGAAGUAAAGUAUAUGAAUCUUACAUUGUCGGCGGUAGCUAUAUUAGUUAAUGUCGGUUUGGUUUUCUUUCUGAUUCGAUCUCAUACAUUAAACUCACAAACAAAAUUAACUUGGUUUGGUUUAUAGUUGGGAAUGGGAUUGAUUAGGUUUUGGACAGUCCAAGGAAGUGGGGACAUCGUUGAUAAAGACAGCAAGAAAAUCGUGUCAACGUGUUCAAGUUCAUUGCAUUUUUCAUAAGAGACUAUAUCCGUAUACAUAUACAAUGUACAUGUUCUUUCUCAAAUAUAUUGUGCAUUUUGGAUCAAAGUAAACGCAUUAUCUACUUUUAUAGAUGUUGCUUGAUUGUCAAUUUCAAACCACCCAAGUAGAUUAGGCGCUUCUGAUAAGCUUUCAAACUCUGUUUAUAUCUUACAGCUAUUGAUGGAAACUCAUUAGUCUUCGUGAUUCUGUUUUUUUUUUUGAAGAUUACAAGCUGAGGAAUCUCAUGAGGAUUUUAAGAUGUUGUGUUGAACUGGAGGAAAAGAUGUUGAUAUAAAAUUAUCUACCAAACAAGCGUGUACAUUUUCAUAUUCGAUGUAAAGCAUAGACCCUUUGGAUUGGCCAAAACGGAUAUACAUAAUCCAAGGGAAAGGAAGAGGGAAGGCUUCAACCGUAGAGGAUAUGAGUCGUGUGGAUCAGAAAGAAGUCUCAGGCAGAUCUCAGCGCUAAUUCUUAUCUACUAUCCCAGGGGACAAAGCCUGCUUAUGGUUCUUUUGAUCAAACGGAAAACCUGGUUACGAUUAUCAAAGCUUUAUCAUAUUAUGUUCAUAGCAAAGGGCUUAAGCUUGGAAUCUACUCUGAUGCUGAGUAUGUGUAUAUACACAACUGCCACUCAUUAUUAUGGUAAUGCAAGUGCAAAGCAGAGUUAUUAAGAUUUUUGAUCUAACCACUAACAAUUUUAACAAUACCUCUCAUUUAGGUUCAUAAGAGAUCAGAGAUCGCUGGUGAUAUAGAUUGGUGCCAGUUUCAUCUUUUGCGACGUAUCUCCUUGAUGUUUGAAUGACCAUAUUGAAACAUACAAGCCGAAGGAGGGAACAUACGACUUGGUAGCAACCAGAGAUAUCUCAUUACAGAACAAGUUCCAUACAAAAGAAAUGGAAUCUAUAGAGAUAACUACUCUAGAAGAUGAGAACGAGAUAAAAAUCAUUCUUGCUGAGUCCAAGGAAAGGAAGCCAGCGAGGAAAUGGUGGAGCUACUGAAGCAGUUGCAGCAAGCAACUCAAGAAGCUGAUGAAGGGAGAUCAUCCUGGCCUUGCUUGUGAAAAGCUGCGAAUGUUUUGAGAAGAGGCAAAGGAAGAAAAGGCUCGACCAGGUACAAUUGAGAGCAGUUUAUUUGCAGCUAAGAAGAAAUUGAGGCUGCUAAAGAUUUUUAGAGAUUGGCAUUAGCUGUUUCCAUCAAGGUUUUCGAGAGCGAACAUGCUUUCAAGUAAAACAAUGUUGAUUGUCCGUCAAGCCUAACACUGUUACUAACAGAGUAAUAUGAGCUUAGCAAGUGUACUCAUGAGGCUUAAGAAAAAGCCAACACAAGGGUUGCAGAAAUUCUGAGAUCGAGGUAGCCAAAGAAACAGAGAAAAUAAGCAAAGAGAGGUUGGAAUAAAUAAACAAAGAUAUGGUUGGGAAAAUGGAGACACUCGCAGAAGCAACUGAGAAGGCUAAGAAGGCUAAAGAAAGAAGUUUGGUGUAGAGCAAGAGGCAAAAAAAUGGAGGAAGAACAUGUAGUAAAGAGAAAGAUUGGUGAUAAUGGAGCGAACAUUGAGAAUAUUCAAAGGAAGGUCUUAUGGGACGAAGCUGCUGCAAUGUUUCGGGUACAUUACCAAAAAAAAUAGUAGCUUAAAAAUUCAAAGGAUACCAAAAUAGAAAUAAAGAAAUAACAAUCAUAAACAAGUUUGGUUAACUUCUAAUCUUUUUUUGCUUAAUGUACAUUUUAAUAUUAAGAAAAAGCUAAUUUUGAGUUCUAUUUUAAAACUUUUACAAUUCUUUAUAUAAAAUUAUAAUAUUUGAAAAUAAUCCGGGCGUAGCCCGGAACCGUCUC